rnacentral:rRNA from 1 species
AAUCAAGCGCGAGAAGGGCGUUUGGUGGAUGCCUUGGCAGCAAGAGGCGAUGAAGGACGUGAUAACCUGCGAUAAGCCAGGGGGAGCCGGUAAUAGGCUUUGAUCCCUGGAUCUCCGAAUGGGGCAACCCACCUGACAGUCGAUUAUAAUUGCCUUCGGGCGGUUUAUAAUCCUCUGAACCAGGUACUUGCGACCUGAAUACAUAGGGUUACAAGAGCAAACCCGGGGAACUGAAACAUCUAAGUACCCGGAGGAAAGGAAAUCAACAGAUACUCCCCUAGUAGUGGCGAGCGAACGGGGACCAGCCGAGCCGUGAAUGUGACCAGAACGGUCUGGAAAGACCGACCAUAGUGGGUGACAGUCCCGUAUGGGAAGCAUGAUCGGACGUAUCAAGUAGGGCGGGACACGUGAAAUCCUGUCUGAAGAUCGGGGGACCACCCUCGAAGGCUAAGUACUCCUUGCUGACCGAUAGCGAACCAGUACCGUGAGGGAAAGGUGAAAAGCACCCCGACGAGGGGAGUGAAACAGUACCUGAAACCGAGCGCCUACAAGCAGUCGGAGGGACCUCGAGUCCUGACGGCGUACCUUUUGUAUAAUGGGUCAUCGACUUGGUCUCACGAGCAAGCUUAAGCCGAUAGGUGUAGGCGCAGCGAAAGCGAGUCUUAAAUGGGCGUCGAGUUCGUGGGAUCAGACCCGAAACCGAGUGAUCUAGGCAUGACCAGGAUGAAGGUACGGUAACACGUACUGGAGGUCCGAACCCACACCUGUUGAAAAAGGUCGGGAUGAGUUGUGCCUAGGGGUGAAAGGCCAAUCAAACUCGGAGAUAGCUGGUUCUCCGCGAAAUCUAUUUAGGUAGAGCGUCAUCCGAAUACCCCGGGGGGUAGAGCACUGGAUGGGUAAUGGGGCCCCACAGGCUUACUGAUCCUAACCAAACUCCGAAUACCCGGGAGUACUAGAUGGCAGACACACGGCGGGUGCUAACGUCCGUCGUGGAGAGGGAAACAACCCUGACCUACAGCUAAGGCCCCCAAUUCGUGGCUAAGUGGGAAAGCAGGUGGGACGUCCAAAACAACCAGGAGGUUGGCUUAGAAGCAGCCAUCCUUUAAAGAUAGCGUAACAGCUCACUGGUCUAAUCAAGAUGUCCUGCGGCGAAGAUGUAACGGGGCUCAAGCCACGAGCCGAAGCUUAGGACUGCGCAAGCAGUGGUAGCGGAGCGUAGUGUGACAAAACCCACGCCUCUUCUGCAUCCUCGGAUGCAUCGGAGGCUCGGGUUUGACUGUGAAGCCGGGGCGUGAGCCAUCCGGUGGAGUGAUCACUAGCGAGAAUGAUGACAUGAGUAGCGACAAGGAGGGUGAGAGACCCUCCCGCCGAAAGUCCAAGGGUUCCUGCUUAAAGCUAAUCUGAGCAGGGUAAGCCGGCCCCUAAGUCGAGGCUGAAAAGCGUAGACGAUGGGAAUCAGGUUAAUAUUCCUGAGCCAGGAGGAUGUGACGGAUCGUGAAGGUUGUUCGCCCUUAUCGGAUUGGGCGGGCCGCUGAUCGGUUCCUGGAAAUAGCCCUCCAUCAGACCGUACCCUAAACCGACACAGGUGGACUGGUAGAGCAUACCAAGGCGCUUGAGAGAACGAUGUUGAAGGAACUCGGCAAAAUACCUCCGUAAGUUCGCGAGAAGGAGGCCCGGUUCGUGGGCAACCAUGGGCCGGGGGCACAAACCAGGGGGUGGCGACUGUUUACUAAAAACACAGGGCUCUGCGAAGUCGCAAGACGACGUAUAGGGUCUGACGCCUGCCCGGUGCCGGAAGGUUAAAAGGAGGGGUGCAAGCUCCGAAUUGAAGCCCCGGUAAACGGCGGCCGUAACUAUAACGGUCCUAAGGUAGCGAAAUUCCUUGUCGGGUAAGUUCCGACCUGCACGAAUGGCGUAACGACUUCCCCGCUGUCUCCAACAUCGACUCAGCGAAAUUGAAUUGCCUGUCAAGAUGCAGGCUUCCCGCGGUUAGACGGAAAGACCCCGUGCACCUUCACUACAGCUUCGCACUGGCAUCAGGCACAACAUGUGCAGGAUAGGUGGU